AUUGAACGCUGGCGGCAGGCCUAACACAUGCAAGUCGAACGAGUGGCGGACGGGUGAGUAAUGUUUGGGAAACUGCCUGAUGGAGGGGGCUCACUACUGGAAACGGUAGCUAAUACCGCAUACCCUCAGUUGUGCCUAGAUGGGAUUAGCUAGUUGGUGGGGUAACGGCUCACCCAGGCGACGAUCCCUAGCUGGUCUGAGAGGAUGACCAUGCACACUGGAACUGAGACACGAUCCAGACUCCUACGGGAGGCAGCAGUGGAGAAUAUGGCACAAUGGGCGCAAGCCUGAUGCAGCAAUGCCGCGUGUAUGAAGAAGGCCUUCGGGUUGUAAAGUACUUUCAGCGGGGAGGCGUUACUCGCAGAAGAAGCACCGGGUAACGCCGUGCCAGCAGCCGCGGUAAUAC
rnacentral:rRNA from 1 species